GGACGAGCCUCUGGAGAGAUCCAUUAAUGGACACCGAAGGAGAAAGAUAGCUAAAUUUUAGUUAUUGAAACUCUCAGGUAAAAGGACAGAGGAUAGGAU
rfam:Clostridium novyi NT, complete genome.